CCAAGGGGAAUGUUCUGUGUGUAUGCAUGUGUGUGUGUGUAUAUGUGUGUGUUUUGUUUAGGUGGAAGGCAAGCACCCUGGAAGCCUGAGGUGAUGGAACAGAGAGUGACGUGACGGAGAGAAAGAAAGAGAGAAAAAAAGAGCGAAUGGAAAGAAACAGACCAGAACGAGGAGGAUCAAACGAGAAAGAGAGGAAGAGAGUCAGACACCAGAGACUGGUUCAUUAGUCUCACAGUGGCCAUCCCAUCUGGACUUGGUCACUGGGGUCAGCAACUGAACGUGGCAGAGGGAGACAUGAAAUGAGAGGCGAACAGACGGCAAGUGGAGAAAGCCAGGGAUUGGAAACACUAUGUGGUGUGCUGUGGUGUGCCUGUCAAGAUUACAUUUCCCCCUCUAUUAAAAACAGAAAUGGGUGAUAGAGUACUAAUGUAUGAUCGACAUUUCU